rnacentral:misc_RNA from 1 species
AACGCACCUUGCGCCCUCUGGUAUUCCGGAGGGCAUGCCUGUUUGAGUGUCUUGAUAUCAUCAAACCCUCGGGUUCGCGCCCGCUGCGGUUUGGAGUUGGGGGCUUUUGCUGCUGUGAGGCGGCUCCCCUUAAAAUCAUCGGUUUGGCCCGUAUCUUGCGGCUAGCACCUUUGGCGUUGUAUUUCCCUCGCCUUCGAUCGGUCUUGCUCGCUUCCGCGCCUCACCCCGACUUGCCCUUUGGGUGGCGGUCACUUCUUGACAAUCUGGCCUCAAAUCAGGUAGGACUACCCGCUGAACUUAA